AUGGUCUUUGCUCUGGAACCGGAGAAUGCAAAACCCAUGAACCCUGGUGGGGCAUGGAAGGGUGGGUGGUGCGUGGGCAAGGAGACCGGAGAUCCCUGCUCACAGGUGCCUACCUGCUCUCCCUUCCUGCCAACAGCGUCCUACCAGCAAGGGGUCCUGUCUGCCACCAUCCUCUAUGAGAUCCUGCUGGGGAAGGCCACCCUCUAUGCUGUGCUGGUCAGCGCCCUGGUGCUGAUGGCCAUGGUUAAGAAAAAGGAUUCCUGAGACCAGCUCCAAAAGUGCAUCCUGAGUCAUUCUUCAUCCUCUCCUUAGAUGUUCCUUAACAUAUUUCCAGUCUGUGUUCCUCAAGAGUUUCUCUCUCUCCACCUUCUUUUAUCUCCUUCCUUCUUGGAUAUCUGUCCCUUCUCUCAGCUUCCCUGCAGACUGAGCUCCACCCCACUGAAUCUUAAAUUGAUUAAAGUAAUAAAAGUGUCAUGGUGGGCUUGACUGUG